AAAUAGCGGCUGCUUCUUUUCCAAGGACUUAUUUAAUGGGGAUGUGUUCAAGGCAAGACCGAAUUCAGAAGGAUAUCGACGUCGUGAUCCAGAAGUCCAGAGCUGAGGACUGCCUGUUUGCAGGAGUGAAGGCAAUUUUGAAGGCAUGACUACGACCUGCUCUGGCCACAAGAGCUAAGAGUUGCCAGGUGUGGUGGCUCAAACACUUUGAGAUGCCAAUCCCAACACUUUGAGAGGCCAAGGCAGGAGGAUUGCUUGAGGCUAGGAGCUUGAAACCAGCCUGGGCAACACAGUGAGACCCCAUCUCUACAAAAAAUAAAAAAACAGGCCAGGCGCAGUGGCACUUAGGGAGGCCAAGGUGGGUGGAUCACCUGAGGUCAGGAGUUCGAGACCAGCCUGACCAACAUGGAGAAACCCCGUCUCUACAAAAAAUACAAAGUUUGCCAGUGUGGUGGCACAUGCCUGUUAUCCCAGCUACUCAGGAGGCUGAGGCAGGAGAAUCGCUUGAACCCGAAAGGCAGAGGUUGCAGUGAGUGGAGAUCACGCCAUUGCACUCCAGCCUGCGCAACAAGAGUGAAACUCCAUCUCAAAUAAAUAAAUAAAAUAAAGUUUUAAAAAGUCAAAA
rnacentral:lncRNA from 1 species